rnacentral:rRNA from 1 species
AGGCUUAACCUCGGUUCGUUCUAGAUACUGGUUGACUAGAGUACAGUAGAGGCAAAUGGAAUUCCUAGUGUAGCGGUGGAAUGCGUAGAUAUUAGGAGGAACACCAGUGGCGAAGGCGAUUUGCUGGGCUGUAACUGACGCUGAGGUACGAAAGCGUGGGUAGCAAAUAGGAUUAGAUACCCUAGUAGUCCACGCUGUAAACGAUGAGCACUAAGUGUCGGGUUACCGGUGCUGAAGUUAACACAUUAAGUGCUCCGCCUGAGUAGUACGGUCGCAAGACUGAAACUCAAAGGAAUUGACGGGCACCCGCACAAGCGGUGGAGCAUGUUGUUUAAUUCGAAAAUACGCGAAGAACCUUACCUAGGCUUGACAUCCCUGGCAAAGCUAUAGAAAUAUAGUGGAGGUUAUCCAGGUGACAGGUGGUGCAUGGUUGUCGUCAGCUCGUGUCGUGAGAUGUUCAGUUAAGUCUGCUAACGAGCGCAACCCUUGUCGAUAGUUGCUAACAUUUAGUUGAGAACUCUAUCGAGACUGCCGGUAUUAAACCGGAGGAAGGUGGGGAUGACGUCAAAUCAUCAUGCCCCUUACGUCUAGGGCAACAGGCGUGCUACAAUGGCUGGUACAAUGAGUCGCAAAACCGCGAGGUGGAGCUAAUCUCCAAAGCCAGUCUCAGUUCGGAUUGAAGUCUGCAACUCGACUUCAUGAAGCUAGAAUCGCUAGUAAUCCCGGAUCAGAAUGCCGGGGUGAAUACGUUCUCGGGUGUUGUACACACCGCCCGUCACGGCAUGGGAGUCAAUAAUAUCCGAAGCCGGUAGCCUAACCCGAAAGGGAGGGGGCCGUCGAAGAUAGGAUUGGUGACUGGGCUGAAGUCGUAACAAGGUAUCCCUACCGGAAGGUGGGGAUG